AUUGAACGCUGGCGGCAGGCCUAACACAUGCAAGUCGAGCGGAUGAAGCGAGCUUGCUCCUGGAUUCAGCGGCGGACGGGUGCGUAAUGCCUAGGAAUCUGCCUGGUAGCUGGGGAUAACGUCCGGAAACGGGCGCUAAUACCGCAUACGUCCUGAGGGAGAAAGUGGGGGAUCUUCGGACCUCGCGCUAUCAGAUGAGCCUAGGUCGGAUUAGCUAGUUGGUGGGGUAAAGGCCUACCAAGGCGACGAUCCGUAACUGGUCUGAGAGGAUGAUCAGUCACACUGGAACUGAGACACGGUACAGACUACUACGGGAGGCAGCAGUGGGGAAUAUUGGACAAUGGGCGGAAGCCUGACCCAACCAUGCCGAGUGUGGGAAGAAGGUCUGCGGAUUGUAAAGCACUUUAAGUUGGGAGGAAGGGCAGUAAGUUAAUACCUUGCUGUUUUGACGGUACCAACAGAAUAAGCACCGGCUAACUUCGUG
rnacentral:rRNA from 1 species